rnacentral:rRNA from 1 species
UACGUAGGUGGCAAGCGUUGUCCGGAAUUAUUGGGCGUAAAGCGCGCGCAGGUGGUUUCUUAAGUCUGAUGUGAAGACCGCCGGCUCAACCGUGGAGGGUCAUUGGAAACUGGGGAACUUGAGUGCAGGAGAGAAGAGUGGAAUUCCACGUGUAGCGGUGAAAUGCGUAGAGAUGUGGAGGAACACCAGUGGCGAAGGCGACUCUUUGGCCUGUAACUGACACUGAGGCGCGAAAGCGUGGGGAGCAAACAGG